rnacentral:rRNA from 1 species
ACGGGAGGCAGCAGUGGGGAAUAUUGGGCAAUGGGUGCAAGCCUGACCCAGCAAUGCCGCGUGAAGGAAGAAGGCUUUCGGGUUGUAAACUUCUUUUAAGUGGGACGAUAAUGACGGUACCACUUGAAUAAGCUCCGGCUAACUACGUGCCAGCAGCCGCGGUAAUACGUAGGGAGCAAGCGUUAUCCGGAUUUACUGGGUGUAAAGGGCGUGUAGGCGGGACAGCAAGUCAGAUGUGAAAGCACGAGGCUCAACUUCGUGUCUGCAUUUGAAACGGCUGUUCUUGAGUGCUGGAGAGGCUAACGGAACUCCGAGUGUAGCGGUGAAAUGCGUAGAUAUUAGGAAGAACACCAGUGGCGAAGGCGGUUAGCUAGACAGUAACUGACGCUGAGGCGCGAAAGCGUGGGUAGCAAACAGGAUUAGAUGCCCUGGUA